GUGCCUACCUUUCCAACCAAAUGAUGACUUCUGAACUAAUCCCAGGAUUUUUGUUUUUGUUUUGUUUUUAAUUUUUUUUUUUCUCUGACUCUCUGGACUGAGAGCAGAAAUGCUGCCUUAGUGAGAGAGGUUCAGGAAGCAACAGGUUUCAUCUUUCCUUAGCCUGCCUAGCCUUUGGUGAGUUUAGGAGUGUUGACAGAGUUCUUAGCCUUCUUGGCAGAGAAGGAAGGUCAGAAGGAGAGAAGUCCACGGGCAGAGGGCCAGGUCUCUCCUUACCUCAUUAGGGAUAGCGUUGUCUGUCUGGUUGGCAGGACACACCUAAUCACAGAGACUCAGCAUUUCAGCAGUUUGCAAAGGGAAGUGAUAUGAAGGGACAGCUGCAAGUCAGCCACAACCUAGAUAGGAGGAGGUGAAGCAUUUACUUCACUUGGAAGAAAGAGAGAAGGAAGGAAGCCGAGGGCUUAGCAGGGUAAGUUGCUUUUCCAUCAAACCAUCUGCUUGCUUAGUUUAUAGUUGAGUAAAACAUUUAUCACCCCUGGGAGUGUUAAUCACUGAUUAAGCAGCCGAAUGUGCUUCAUAAGAGCAAUAUUCUUAAUAUAUUCCUCCUUUUCUCUUUCUCUCUCCCAGCUCCUUCUAGGAUCCCCCAAUGACUAGAAUCAUUUCCCCCUUUCCCUACCUCCCCAAAGGGUGAAUUAGAGAAAAUUAGAUUGUCCUUCCUGUUCUGGAGAUAGUGAGAAGGUAACUGGUUUGGGUGAAACUUGAAAGGCUUUUGGUGAUGAAGGAGAAAAAUGGGAGACCUGGUCUAGGAAUAGGCUAAUAUUGGAGGGAAUUUGGAAAUGAAAGAUAAGAGUUUUUAUAGACCGUGCAGACUGUCUCCUCUUUAGUCCUUAGUGUUGGUGUUUUCUCUCUUACGAGAAUAUAUUAGAGCCCAAGUUAUUGGGGAUAGCUAGAAAAAAGUUGAAGUGAUUCCUUGUAGGUGAGGUAGACUCUAAUAUCUGGAAAAUUCUGAAAGCUUAUUAUAUAUAAUUCCUUCCAGCUUCUCCCUGUCCUGUCUGGUUUUUUGCCUUCAUUUCUCAGUCCUAUUCCUUCCCCUCAAACUUGGAGGAUCCUGGGGCAGGGAAGUUAGAACCAGGGAAGCUGGGUCUGGUCCUAGGGUACACAAACUCCGAUAUGAACCUCAUGUAGAUACAAAUGCACCUUCUUACCUUACUCUACCUUCUUCCCAGAAAUUUAGUUCAUUUGUAUCAUUAACCUUCUCUAGAGGAAACUAUCAAGGAUUCAUCACCACCACUCCUCCCCAAACUGAUCUCUGCACUUCCCAGCCAGUUCAGCCAACCCCCCCAGAGAGCCAAGAGUUAAUCUUCCAUUGGAGAAAGACAUCUUUGGAAAGGCAGAUUAAGUUAGGAAGUACAUUUCUGGUCUUAAUUGGCUUCCAUUGCAGCACAAAAGCUAGUUGAACAUCAGGAAUAUAUAUUUAUUAUUGCUCCUGGGAUUUAAGAUUCUUGACCUACCUCAAAUCAAAGAUAAUUUUUCUCUAUAUCUUUCAAGAAAGAUGAAUCCAUUCUUUCAAGGUUCAAGAAGGUAUCUUGCCUAAAGAGGCUGGGUAGCUAGAGCAGAGGAAUGCUUCUCAAGUUGCAGUGAUUUUGGAAAUUGGAAAGAAGCCUGGGUGGCUUUGUCAGUUGAGUGUUCAACUCUUGAUUUCAGCUCAGGUCAUGAUCUUGGGGUUACAAGAUUGAGCUUCAAGUUGGGCUCUGCACUGAGUGUGGGGUCUGCUCAAAAUUCUCUCCCUCUCCCUUUGCCCCUCCCUGGCUGCUCAAAUAGGCUUGCUCUCUUAAAAAUAUAGAUAGAUAGAUAGAUAGAUGAUAGAUAGGAUAGACAGAUAAAUGAAAUAAAGCGUAUAUUUUUUAAAAGUGGAGGAAGUGUCAGGUCAGUUGUUGGAAAUGGCGUACUCAGGUGUGAAGGCAUCCUUUAGUAAAGGGACAUGACCCUUAAAUCUUAAAAUAAUCUAUCACCUUGAGGUCUAAUUUCUUCUGUAUUGGCGAGAAUGUAGAAGAUAUAUGCAGAUGAGCUUAGCUAUUCCUGUUCUGUAGACUCUGAAAACAUCCAUUUAUCUGUGGGAUGAGGGGAGAGAUUACAGGGGUACAGUGAGAGGAUGAGAGAGAAGUACAAAGGAAAAUACAGAUUAGUUCCCUCAUUAAGUAAGGACAACAGUUUGCAAGAGCCAUGUUGUAAAAUAAUAGACUUUUUUAAAGUUUUCCUUUUAAUUCCAGUUAGUUAACAUGCAGUGUUAUAUUAGUUUCAGGUGUACUGGGUGAUUCUGGGAAGUUUUUGUUUGUUCUGCCACUUAUACCUCAGCUGAAUGAUGAUUCUUGGAGUUUUUUCCCUAACAGAUCUGGUCCAGAAGGAUUAAAUGUCAGACUAUUUUUGGAACAAAACCUGAUCCCUGAUUUGUACUUUAAUAGUUACCUUAUUCACAAUAAAACCAAUCACUGUUAGCAUUUUUAUCCUCUACCAUUUUCCUGUCCCUAGAAGCAGUUAAUCUGAGGGUUAAUAAUUUUUUAGCUUCUCCGAGAUGCCUGGGUGGCUGAGUUAGUUAAGCAUCUGCCUUGUGGUUAUGAUUUCAGGGUCCUGGGACUGAAUCCUGCAUUGGGCUCCUUGCUCAGCGGGGAGCCAGGCUGCUGCUUCUGCCUACUGCUCCCUCUGCUUGGGCAGGUACUUGCACGCACACUAUCUUUCUCUGACAAAUAAAAUCUCUUUAAAAAUAAUUGUUUAGCUUCUCAAUCUCUACCUUUUUUAUUUUUUAAUUGAGGUGAAAUUCACAUAACAUAAAAUUAAUCCUUUUAAAAUGAGCAUGUUAUGUCAUACAUUCACAUUGUUGCGCAACCAUGACCUCUAUCUAGUUCCAAAACAUUUUCACCAUCUCAAAAGAAAAACCUAUAACCAUUUAACAGUCACUCCCCAUCCCUCCCUCUUCCAUCCAGCCCCUGGCAGCCGAGAAUCUGCUUUCUCUUUGGAUUUACCUUUUCUCAAUAUUUCAUAUAAACGGAAUCAUGUAACGUAUGAUCUUUUGUGUCUGGCUUUCAGUUAGCAUAAUGUUUUUGAGGUUCACCCACAUUAUAGCAUAUUAUUAGUACUUCAUUUCUUUUAAUGGUGUCCUAUCUGAGAAAUUGCCAAAUCCAUAUUAUGACACUUUUCCAUAUGUGUUCUAAAACUUUAUAGUUUUAAUUCUUACAUUGAUGUUAUACUUAAUAAUCAAACUCAUACCAUUCUAUUUCAUUAAUUCCUAGAGUGUUCCCAUCUACAGUUCUAUGCUCAUGCUCUUCUCUGUGCUUAGAAUUCCUUUUUCUGUCUCCAUUUAUUCAAAGUAUUACCAUCAUUAAUGGGUCUGUUCUGACUGCUCUAUGCUUUAUAAAGUCGUCUACAGCUAACUAACUGAGGAGACUCCUUCUGAUCUGCUUUAGUUUCACUUUUCUUACAGGAUUUAUAUACUGCCUUAUAUUAUAAUUUACAUUUGAUCCCUCUUUAAGACAUUUACAUAUUAAGUAUAUUUUGCAUAUGUUUCCCUUAUAAUAUUUUAUAAAUGAUUAUAUGUGUUUAGCAAUAAAUAUUCUUUGAAUAAAUGGAUGUUUUUAUUUUUCCCAAUAUAGUUCUUUUUGUUUACUCAUUCCUUUGGGAAGGAAUGGGAGAAGACGAGGAGGGAAAGGAGAAUAUCAGAGUUCCUCCUAGGUAGUGGGUAGAUAAUGGGAUUAGUUCUACUUUAAAGCUCAGUUGUUUAGGAAAUUUUCCUCAUAAUUUGCAUAACUUGCUUUGACUACAUAAAUCUUAAUAUUGUGGUGCUGAUUUUGUAUUGCAUUUAAUUUCUACUUCUGGGCUGAGUGCUUAAAAAUGUGAUGAUAGGUCUUCUAAAAUGAAUGUUUUAUUUCCCUAGCUAGGUGAGGUUGACUGAUUCUCCAAAUAGUUGGUAGUUUUGAACAACCAAAAUUUCUGUUGCUUUUUCCUCCAUUAUUUUAAGUUGAUUUUUUUCAAUGCAUUAAUAAUAUAUGAAUAUAUUCUUAGUAUUCAAGAGUCAAAUAUUACAGAUAAGUCUAAAGUUCCUUUUGAUUAACCCAGUUCCUAUCCCAUUAUUUCUUUCCCUCCAAGCUAAUCAUUGUUAUUGGGUUUGUUGUUUUUACUUUUUUUAAGAUUUUAUUUAUUUAUUUGAGAGAGAGAGAAAGCAUGAGAGGAGAGAGGUCAGUGGGAGAAGCAGACUCACUGCUGAGCAGGGAGCCCAAUGUGGAACUUGAUCCCAAGGACUCCAGGAUCAUGACCUGAGCCAAAAGUAGUCGCUUAACCAACUGAGCCACCCAGGCCCCUCUGUUACUGGUUUUAUAUGAGCCCUGCCAGACCUUUUUCUAUGCAUUUACUUAUAUACAUAGUUUAUAUUUCAUGUAGAACUUCAUAUGUGAUACAUAUAUAAUUAUGUUGAUAUAUAAUUAUUUUCCUCCUGUUUUUUAUAACUGCCUAUGAUGAUCAAUCAUCACUAGAUCCUAAGUAAAUCUUACUGAUAGCUAGGUCUGAGAGACUGUAAUGAAAAUUGAAAGGUCAAACAUAUGAAAACACAGUGUACUUGUCUAGCUUGCAAAAUUUCAUUCUAUAUCUGUUCUACAUAUAGUCCCAGGUAUCAGUGGACAGCCAUGGCUCCAAGAUCCCGGCAACGAAGGCACAAGAAACCCCCUUCAUCGGUGACUCCCAUGGUUGUAACCCCACCCACAGUUGUGACCUCUGUGCCUCUGACCCUCUCAAAACCUGACCCUAGCAUUGAUGCACUUGGCUUCUUCUCCUUGGAGAAUAAUGUUCCUGGCCUAUCCCAGCUAAUCCUUCAAAAGCUAAACAUGAAAAGCUAUGAAGAAUACAAGUUGGUGCUAGAUGGGGGUGCUUCUGUAUCAGGCUUUGGAUUCCGAUGUCUUCGAGAAAUGUUCCAGAAGAUGGAGGACACAUUCCAAUUCUGUGCUCACUGUAGAGCUCUUCCUAGUGGCCUUUCAGACUCCAAGGUCCUGCGGCAGUGCAAGAGGUGCAGAAAUGUCUAUUACUGUGGUCCAGAGUGCCAGAAGUCAGACUGGCCAGAGCACAGGAAGGUUUGUCAAGAGCUGCGUCUGGUAGCUGUGGACCGUCUCAUGGAAUGGCUUCUAGUCACAGGUGCUUUUGUCCUACCUUCAGGACCUUGGCCAUGCCUGGCUGAAGUUGUACAGGGUUGGGAUACCUGGUUUUCUAUGCGGCAUUUACAGCUAGAAGCUGCACUGGAUGCUGUACUAGGUAGUCAUGCCAUGAACACCCUGUGGGCCAACGUAGGACGGUCAAGGCCAGACCCAGAUGUCCUGCAGGGCUCUUUGAAGCGGCUGCUGACAGAUGCCCUAUCACGGCCCUUGACACUGGGCCUUGGGCUUCGGGCCUUGGGGAUAGAUAUUGGGAAGACUGGGGGAAGCACAGUGCAUGUGGUUGGUGCUUCCCAUGUGGAGACAUUCCUCACUCGCCCUGGGGACUAUGAUGAGCUUGGCUACAUGUUUCCUGGACACCUAGGCCUCCGUGUCAUCAUGGUGGGUAUAGACGUAUCUGCUAACUUUACACAGAGCACCUCAACUUCCCCCCUGGAACCUGGCACAGUUCAACUUAGUGGCCAUAGGGGCCUCUAUCAUGACUUCUGGGAGGAACAGGUAGAGACUGGACAGAUAGCCCAUCCAGAUUUGGUGGUGGCAUUCCAUCCAGGUAAGAGUCAUUCAGGGGGAUACUGGUUGGCUUUUCAGGGAAUUUUCCAUCCUGAUUCUUAUAUCUCCUCUAUUUGGAACCCCAUUCAUUUGGUCUGAUUAAACAUACUAUGAUGACAACCUUGGUUGAUCAUUAGCCAUACGUGCUAUACCUUGGUUCAGAAUUUUCCAUUGCAGAACCUGGGGUGGAUGGAGGUGGUAAAUGAGCACUGGAGGUUUUCAUGCUUCCCCAGAUUUGAUGGAGGCUUGGCUGCCCACCCUCCUGCUACUUCGUGAUUAUGAGAUCCCUACAUUGAU